rnacentral:rRNA from 1 species
GCAAUACUUAGUGGCAGACGGGUGAGUAACAUGUAGGUAUCUACCCUUUGGCCUGGAAUAACACGAGGAAACUUGUGCUAAUACCAGAUAAGUCUUUACGGAGAAAGCUUUAUGCACCAUUGGAUGAGCCUGCACUUGAUUAGUUUGUUGGUGGGGUAAUGGCCUACCAAGACUGUGAUCAAUAGCUGAUUUGAGAGGAUGAUCAGCCACAUUGGGACUGAGACACGGCCCAAACUCCUACGGGAGGCAGCAGUGGGGAAUCUUGCACAAUGGAGGAAACUCUGAUGCAGCGAUGCCGCGUGAGUGAAGAAGGCCUUUGGGUUGUAAAGCUCUUUCGUCGGGGAAGAAAAUGACUGUACCCG